rnacentral:rRNA from 1 species
AUUGAACGCUGGCGGCAGGCCUAACACAUGCAAGUCGAGCGGUAGAGAGGUGCUUGCAUCUCUUGAGAGCGGCGGACGGGUGAGUAAUGCCUAGGAAUCUGCCUGGUGGUGGGGGAUAACGUUCGGAAACGGACGCUAAUACCGCAUACGUCCUACGGGAGAAAGCGGGGGAUCUUCGGACCUCGCGCCAUUAGAUGAGCCUAGGUCGGAUUAGCUAGUUGGUGAGGUAAUGGCUCACCAAGGCGACGAUCCGUAACUGGUCUGAGAGGAUGAUCAGUCACACUGGAACUGAGACACGGUCCAGACUCCUACGGGAGGCAGCAGUGGGGAAUAUUGGACAAUGGGCGAAAGCCUGAUCCAGCCAUGCCGCGUGUGUGAAGAAGGUCUUCGGAUUGUAAAGCACUUUAAGUUGGGAGGAAGGGUAGUACCUAAUACGUUGCUACUUUGACGUUACCGACAGAAUAAGCACGGCUAACUUCGUGCCAGCAGCCG